rnacentral:rRNA from 1 species
AAUCCAUAGGUUAAUGAGGCGAACCGGGGGAACUGAAACAUCUAAGUACCCCGAGGAAAAGAAAUCAACCGAGAUUCCCCCAGUAGCGGCGAGCGAACGGGGAGGAGCCCAGAGCCUGAAUCAGCAUGUGUGUUAGUGGAAGCGUCUGGAAAGGCGCGCGAUACAGGGUGACAGCCCCGUACACAAAAGCGCAUGUGCUGUGAGCUCGAUGAGUAGGGCGGGACACGUGGUAUCCUGUCUGAAUAUGGGGGGACCAUCCUCCAAGGCUAAAUACUCCUGACUGACCGAUAGUGAACCAGUACCGUGAGGGAAAGGCGAAAAGAACCCCGGCGAGGGGAGUGAAAAAGAACCUGAAACCGUGUACGUACAAGCAGUGGGAGCACAGGUUUACCUGUGUGACUGCGUACCUUUUGUAUAAUGGGUCAGCGACUUAUAUUCUGUAGCAAGGUUAACCGUAUAGGGGAGCCGGAGGGAAACCGAGUCUUAAUUGGGCGUUAAGUUGCAGGGUAUAGACCCGAAACCCGGUGAUCUAGCCAUGGGCAGGUUGAAGGUUGGGUAACACUAACUGGAGGACCGAACCGACUAAUGUUGAAAAAUUAGCGGAUGACCUGUGGCUGGGGGUGAAAGGCCAAUCAAACCGGGAGAUAGCUGGUUCUCCCCGAAAGCUAUUUAGGUAGCGCCUCGUGAAUUCAUCUCCGGGGGUAGAGCACUGUUUCGGCUAGGGGGCCAUCCCGGCUUACCAACCCGAUGCAAACUGCGAAUACCGGAGAAUGUUAUCACGGGAGACACACGGCGGGUGCUAACGUCCGUCGUGAAGAGGGAAACAACCCAGA